UUUACUGGGCGUAAAGCGUCUGCAGCCGGACAGGUAAAUUGGGCGUGAAAGCUCCGGGCCCAACCCGGAGAGGUCGUUCAAUACUGCGUGUCUAGAGGGUGUCAGAGGGGAGUGGAAUUUCCGGAGUAGCGGUAAAAUGCGCAGAGAUCGGAAAGAACACCAAUGGCGAAGGCAGCUCCCUGGGGCAACCCUGACGCUAAGAGACGAAAGCUAGGGGAGCGAACAGGAUUAGAGACCCUGGUAGUCCUAGCCCUAAACGAUGGAUGCUGGAUGUGGGGCCAUAGCGCUCCGUGUCGAAGCGAACGCGUUAAGCAUCCCGCCUGGGGACUACGGCCGCAAGGUUAAAACUCAAACGAAUUGACGGGACCCCGCACAAGCAGCGGAGCGUGUGGUUUAAUUCGAUGCUACACGAAGAACCUUACCUGGGUUUGACAUCUAGGUGGUAGUGAAGCGAAAGCGGAGCGACCCUUCGGGGAGCCUAGACAGGUGCUGCAUGGCUGUCGUCAGCUCGUGCCGUGAGGUGUCGGGUUAAGUCCCGUAACGAGCGCAACCCUUGCCCUCCGUUAUACGUGUCAGAGGGGACUGCCGGCGGUAAGCCGGAGGAAGGUGGGGAUGACGUCAAGUCAGCAUGGCCUUUAUAUCCAGGGCUACACACACGCUACAAUGGCCAGUACAAAGGGCAGCGAAGCCGCGAGGUGGAGCGAAUCCCAGCAAAGCUGGUCGUAGUUCGGAUUGCAGGCUGCAACCCGCCUGCAUGAAGCUGGAGUUGCUAGUAACCGCGCGUCAGCCAUAGUGCGGUGAUACGUUCCCGGGGUUUGUACACACCGCCCGUCACGUCAUGGGAGUCGAUAACGCCUGAAGCCGGUGGCCUAGCUCGGAAGAGAGGGCGCUGUCUAAGGCGGGGCUCGGUGACUGGGACGAAGUCGUCACAAG
rnacentral:rRNA from 1 species